CACUUCCAAAUCUAGCUCGUAAUCCUGAGUAUUCUCCAAGCUCUUUCCUUAACUGGCUGCAUAGAGAAGUCUCCAAAGUUCCCAAAGGGGGAUGGAGGACAACAAGGAACAGAACUGGGUCUCUGAGUGACUGCAUGAAGCAGUUUUUCACUACCAACUUCACUGGACUGAAACACGAAUGAAGAGUGGACUUGUUUUGAGUUAGCCUCCUCUCACCAAUAGACUAGUCAUUUCCAUGCAGUUAUAUAAACUUUUACCCCCUGAAGAGGAGUCCCCAAUCAGCACACAAUUUUCAUGUUUUCCAACUUACAAAAAUGGAACUAAAUCGCAUGUGUUUCUUCAGCAUCUUAUUUUUUUACUCACCAUUGCUUGUGAGAUCCUCCCAUGCUACAGAUGACAAAACCAUGACUGAGGGGAACCAAGCAAUUUUUCUAGGGACCAGCAUCCAGAAAGGACAAUCAUGAAAUCAAAAUUUAUUCCACAUCACACUUACUCCAGAACCCCAGGCUCUGUCUUUGGUAACUCCUAAAUGUGUUAAGAACAAGUAAGCCAAAUUUUAAUCUUCCUGUCCAAGAGGAUGUUUGAUGAUAGAAUAAAAAUAAGCUCUUCUGUA